UUUUCCAUUUAUCUUUUGUGUUUUCAGGUUUUAAAAUGCCUGAGCCAGCCAAGUCCGCUCCUGCCCCGAAGAAGGGCUCCAAGAAGGCGGUGACCAAGGCCCAGAAGAAAGAUGGGAAGAAGCGCAAGCGCAGCCGCAAGGAGAGCUACUCUGUGUAUGUGUACAAGGUGCUGAAGCAGGUCCACCCGGACACUGGCAUCUCGUCCAAGGCCAUGGGCAUCAUGAACUCCUUCGUCAACGACAUCUUCGAGCGUAUUGCGGGCGAGGCAUCACGCCUGGCGCAUUACAACAAGCGCUCGACCAUCACCUCCAGGGAGAUCCAGACGGCCGUGCGCCUGCUGUUGCCCGGGGAGUUGGCCAAACACGCCGUGUCCGAGGGUACCAAGGCUGUCACCAAGUACACCAGCUCCAAGUAAAUUUGCCAAGUAAGCGUCUUUACACCUAACCCCAAAGGCUCUUUUAAGAGCCACCCACGUGUGCACAGAGAGAGCUGUAAUCUAUGUACGUUAGACUUGCAUUAAUGGGCCUAAGGACUGACGGAACUAGUACGUUAAUCUGAAUGAGAAAUUAUAAAAACACUGAAAAGGAGGCUGGUGUAUUGUAAUAUCAGUUUAAAAGGCUUGCAAUUCGACAAGUCUCCAUCACGGCUGAACUGAGGGCUAGUAACGGAAGGCGGGGAAACUAGGCGGGCUGAGGAAAAGGGUCGCAAUUGUAUUUAGCAUACAUUGUGAAGCACACAAAAUUCCCAAACCAGGCAGUCGCUGGGCGGGACGGGUUGGGGGAGGGGAAGAGCGCACCUCGUAGUAACGUAUCCAUUUUCUAAAAAAGGUGAGUAGACUAAAGGCAUAAAAUCUGUGCUACAAAGGAAACAAACCCUGUGUUCCUCAGUGCUAAGUUUUCUUUGACACCUGCGAAAAACAGACCUGUCUGACGCUCGCUAGUCAGGCCUCCAUUGGAACAGUUCCACAAUCACUGGCUGCCUAACCUGGAAGGUAUGCUAAAAAAUGAUGUGCAGCCCCGGCCUAAAUAACGUACAAGUGUAAAUAUAGGUCAAUGGCAUAUGCUUUUCACACCAGCUCCUCAAACUAUGUUUCCAAGUCCCUUAACAGCUGUCAUAGGAUUUUUUUUUUCUAUACCUCUAGUGAGCCUGCCCCAUGCUUGAGGAUCCGAAUCAGACCAACCUCUCCUCACUGCCUAAUCUGUUUACCCAAAAUAGGUUCAAACAUGGGUUUGAAAAUUAGGUUCAAACAUAGGUUCAGAAAACCCAGGCUGCCUACAAGAUUUUUAUUUCGUUCUCUUCCUGUUUUUCUCACAUAUAAAUUCUGGUUUGUCUGUUGGAUGAAGUAAUUCUUGCUUGAUUUCUCUUCAGUACAAGAGCAGGCUGGCUAAUCAUUAACACUUGACAGUUUAUUUCUGAAAAGUCCACCGAGACAUUGUUUACCUGAGUCCUACCUUAGGAAUCAAUAGAAAUGUGACCUGAAUAUAUACCUCGUUUAGCCCUGGGCACUUUUGAGUUUCCUGUUUCUCUUACCUUGGCUGCAUGCUGAAAUUUAUUUUUGCCCAGUUUUCUUCUUGAUUUGGUGCUUAGAUUGGAUACACAUUAGUGGUUUUAUGAUUAGAUCAUUAGGUGAUUGGCGCAGUGGUAAAGAAUUCAAUCCACCUGCCUGUGGAGGAGAUGCAACCAUCCCUGGAUCAAGAAGAUCCCCUGGAUCUUGUAGAUCUUCUUGGAGUAGGAAAUGGCAACCCAACUCCAGUAUUCUUGCCUGGAAAAUUGACUGAAGGACUGAGCCGGAGCAACUGAUCGCCCACACACAGAGGAGCAAAUGGGCUUUAGAAAAGUAUUUUCCCACUACUGGUCACUGCUGGACUUUAUUAUAUCUCAAAAAUAAGUCAAUGAAAAUGACUGAUACCAGAAGCAGAUAAAAGAUAUUUUCAACAAUCAUAGAAAAAUCAAUGAGAACCUGGCUAAGGCAUUUAUUUUGAGUAUAAAAAUAUUAAAUGGUUAUUUGAGAAAUUUGCAAGAAGAAAAAUACAUAACAAAAUUAAAUCUUAGUAUCUCUUUUCUAUAAGACCUAUGAAUAUAUAAAUAUGAACAUAUAUGAGAUUCACCUAUAAAAAUAUGUCAUUUAAAAACCAAAUUUAAGUAUCAUGCUAUGUAUGUACACAUAUCGAGUUUUCUAGGUAAUAUGCCUAGAAACACAUUUUUUAAUGGGUAUAUUAUUACCUAUGCAAGUAGUCCUCUGUUACUGGCUAUUUAGAUUGAGUUCCAUUUUUAUGCAUUAUAAAUCAUAUAGGUCACACUUCUUUGUAUGUAAAUCUCUGUUUAAAUAUUUAUUUCCUUAGAAUAGACUUCUAGAAGUAGAAUACUAAAUCCCAAGGUAAAAUCAUUUUUUAAUGUUCUUAAUAUAUACAUUGUCAAAUUGCCUUUCAGAAGGACUAUGCCAGUUUAUAAUCCCAGUAUAAUUUUAAAAGUCUUGUUUUCAUAGCUGUCAUUUUUACUGAGAACACUUUUAAAGCAUUGUUAACCAGAUAGAUUAAAAAAAAAUUGAACUGUAAUUUCCUUUAUUAUGAGUAGAGGUAGUAUUUUUUCCCAUGCUUUUACUAGCCAUGACCCCAUAAAAAAUAAACUGCUGUAAAAUAA